rnacentral:rRNA from 1 species
GGAUCGGCAAUGGAAACUGGGAAGCUAGAGUGUGGUAGGGGUAGAGGGAAUUCCCGGUGUAGCGGUGAAAUGCGUAGAUAUCGGGAAGAACACCAGUGGCGAAGGCGCUCUACUGGGCCACAACUGACGCUGAGGGACGAAAGCUAGGGGAGCGAAAGGGAUUAGAUACCCCUGUAGUCCUAGCUGUAAACGAUGGAUACUAGGUGUUGGACGUAUCGACCCGUGCAGUACCGUAGCUAACGCGUUAAGUAUCCCGCCUGGGGAGUACGCACGCAAGUGUGAAACUCAAAGGAAUUGACGGGGGCCCGCACAAGCGGUGGAGGAUGUGGUUUAAUUCGAUGCAACGCGAAGAACCUUACCAAGGCUUGACAUCCUGCGAAUCUUUCAGAGAUGAGAGAGUGCCUUCGGGAGCGCAGAGACAGGUGGUGCAUGGCUGUCGUCAGCUCGUGUCGUGAGAUGUUGGGUUAAGUCCCGCAACGAGCGCAACCCUCGUCCUUAGUUGCCAUCAUUAAGUUGGGCACUCUGGGGAGACUGCCGUGGACAACACGGAGGAAGGUGGGGACGACGUCAAGUCAUCAUGCCCCUUACGUCUUGGGCUACACACGUCCUACAAUGCUACAGACAGAGGGCAGCGAGCGCGCGAGUGCAAGCAAAUCCCAUAAACUGUGGCUCAGUUCAGAUUGCAGGCUGCAACUCGCCUGCAUGAAGGCGGAAUCGCUAGUAAUCGCCGGUCAGCCUACGGCGGUGAAUACGUUCCCGGGCCUUGUACACACCGCCCGUCACACCAUGGGAGUUGGCCACGCCCGAAGUCGUUACUCUAACCGUUCGCGGAGGAGGGCGCCGAAGGCAGGGCUGAUGACUGGGGUGAAGUCGUAACAAGGUAGCCGUACCGGAAGGUGUGGCUGGAUCACCUCCU